AUUGAACGCUGGCGGCAGGCUUAACACAUGCAAGUCGAGCGGGGUGAUGGUGCUUGCACUAUCACUUAGCGGCGGACGGGUGAGUAAUGCUUAGGAAUCUGCCUAUUAGUGGGGGACAACAUCUCGAAAGGGAUGCUAAUACCGCAUACGUCCUACGGGAGAAAGCAGGGGAUCACUUGUGACCUUGCGCUAAUAGAUGAGCCUAAGUCGGAUUAGCUAGUUGGUGGGGUAAAGGCCUACCAAGGGGACGAGCUGUAGCGGGUCUGAGAGGAUGAUCCGCCACACUGGGACGGAGACACGGCCCAGACUCCUACGGGAGGCAGCAGUGGGGAAUAUUGGACAAUGGGGGGAACCCUGAUCCAGCCAUGCCGCGUGUGUGAAGAAGGCCUUAUGGUUGUAAAGCACUUUAAGCGAGGAGGAGGCUCUUUUGGUUAAUACCCAAGAUGAGUGGACGUUACUCGCAGAAUAAGCACCGGCUAACUCUGUGCCAGCCGCCGCCGUAA
rnacentral:rRNA from 1 species